AUGAAUUAGAAGCUAGGCUAAGCAUAUGUGUAUGGCUAUCCAAGACUAUCUCUUAUAUGGGUUGGCUGAAUCCCAUAAAAAGAAAAAAUGACCUUAACAGGUCAUUUUUUUUUCUCAUUAUAAAAUUCAGGCCAGUCUACUCUAAAGGCCUCUAGGUAUUGAGAAUAUGAGUAAUUCUUUGUGCACUGUGUGUGGUGCAAUAAAAUUGACAUGGAGCACACC
rnacentral:lncRNA from 1 species